GAUUGAACGCUGGUGGCAGGCCUAACACAUGCAAGUCGAGCGGCAUCGAGUGAUCGCAGUUUACUGAGUUCAUGUCGGCGAGCGGCGGACGGGUGAGUAAAGUCUGGGAAUCUGGCCGAAGGAGGGGGAUAACUGCUGGAAACGGCAGCUAAUACCGCAUGAAGUCGCGAGACCAAAGUGGGGGACCUUCGGGCCUCACGCCUUCGGAUGAGCCCAGAUGAGAUUAGCUGGUAGGUAAGGUAAAGGCUUACCUAGGCGACGAUCUCUAGCGGGUCUGAGAGGAUAGCCCGCCACACUGGAACUGAGACACGGUCCAGACUCCUACGGGAGGCAGCAGUGGGGAAUAUUGCACAAUGGGCGAAAGCCUGAUGCAGCCAUGCCACGUGUGUGAAGAAGGCCUCGG
rnacentral:rRNA from 1 species